UACGGGGGGGGCAAGCGUUGUUCGGAAUUACUGGGCGUAAAGGGCUCGUAGGCGGCCAACUAAGUCAGACGUGAAAUCCCUCGGCUUAACCGGGGAACUGCGUCUGAUACUGGAUGGCUUGAGUUUGGGAGAGGGAUGCGGAAUUCCAGGUGUAGCGGUGAAAUUCGUAGAUAUCGAGAGGAACACCGGUGGCGAAGGCGGCGAUCUGGACGAUGACUGACGCUGGGACGCGAAAGCGUGGGGAGCAAACAGG
rnacentral:rRNA from 1 species